UACGUAGGGGGCUAGCGUUGUCCGGAAUCAUUGGGCGUAAAGCGCGUGUAGGCGGUCCGGUAAGUCCGCUGUGAAAGUCGGGGGGCUCAACCCUCGGAUGCCGGUGGAUACUGUCGGGCUUGAGUACGGAAGAGGCGAGUGGAAUUCCUGGUGUAGCGGUGAAAUGCGCAGAUAUCAGGAGGAACACCAAUUGCGAAGGCAGCUCGCUGGGACGUUACUGACGCUGAGACGCGAAAGCGUGGGGAGCAAACAGGAUUA
rnacentral:rRNA from 1 species